rnacentral:rRNA from 1 species
UACAGGGGGUGCAAACGUUGCUCGGAAUCAUUGGGCGUAAAGCGCACGUAGGCGGUCUGUUAUGUCGGAUGUGAAAGCCCUUGGCUUAACUGAGGAAGUGCAUCCGAAACUGGCAGGCUAGAGUACUAAAGAGGGUCGCGGAAUUCCCGGUGUAGAGGUGAAAUUCGUAGAUAUCGGGAGGAACACCGGUGGCGAAGGCGGCGACCUGGGUAGAUACUGACGCUGAGGUGCGAAAGCGUGGGUAGCAAACAGG